GACGAACGCUGGCGGCGUGCUUAACACAUGCAAGUCGAACGGGCCUGUCUUCUUUUUUGGGGGUGGGUUGAGUGGCGAACGGGUGAGUAUCACGUGAGUAACCUGCCCUUCGGUCCUGGAUAACCGCUUGAAAGGGCGGCUAAUACGGGGUGGUCCGGUUGGUCCGCAUGGGCUGGUCGGGAUAGAUUCACUGUUUUUGGUGUUUCGGCGGGGGAUGGGCUCGCGGCCUAUCAGCUUGUUGGUGGGGUGAUGGCCUACCAAGGCGGUGACGGGUAGCCGGCCUGAGAGGGUGGGCGGCCACACUGGGACUGAGAUACGGCCCAGACUCCUGCGGGAGGCAGCAGUGGGGGGUAUUGCACAAUGGGUGGAAGCCUGAUGCAGCGACGUCGCGUGAGGGAUGGAGGCCUUCGGGUUGUGAACCUCUGUUUCCGGUGGUGAAGGCCCUGUCCGUGUGGUGGGGUUGACGGUAGCCGGGGAUGAAGCGCCGGCUAACUACGUG
rnacentral:rRNA from 1 species